rnacentral:rRNA from 1 species
GAUGAACGCUAGCGACAGGCUUAACACAUGCAAGUCGAGGGGCAUCACGGGUAGCAAUAUCUGGUGGCGACCGGCGAACGGGUGAGUAACGCGUAUGCAACCUACCUGUAAACGGGAGACAACCUGGAGAAAUUUGGGCUAAACUUCCAUGAGGCAUUAUUACUGCAUGGUAAUGAUGUCAAACGUAAGGUUUACAAAUGGGCAUGCGUAUGAUUAGCUAGUUGGUAGGGUAAUAGCCUACCAAGGCGACGAUCAUUAGGGGUUCUGAGAGGAAGGUCCCCCACAUUGGAACUGAGAUACGGUCCAAACUCCUACGGGAGGCAGCAGUGAGGAAUAUUGGUCAAUGGACAGAAGUCUGAACCAGCCAAGUCGCGUGAAGGAAGAAGGUCUUACGGAUUGUAAACUGCUUUAGUCUAGGAAAAGGGGUGCGAGGUUAAUACCCUCGUGCUUUGAUGGUACUGGAAGAAUAAGCACCGGCUAACUACGUGCCAGCAGCCGCGGUAA